GAGCGUGCUGUUGUUGGCGCUGGGCUCGGGAGGCCCCUGAACAUGGCGCUGUGUGCUGCGUGUGCCAGCCCCAAGAGAUUCCCGUGUGGAAGAAGGGAGAGGAUGAAGGAGGCCGAGGGCCCUUUUCUCGGGUCCGGCUCCUCUGUGGCCUCUUGCUUGCCGGAGAGAAGGGCUGCCCGCUGGGCACAGGGGGUGCCUUCUAGCUGCCGUCCCGUGCCCUGUCCUGCAGCCCCCUCCUCAUGCUAUGUGGAACGCCAUGGCCAGCAGUGCGGCUGCCAUUUUAGAACCUUCGCCGCAUCACAGCCGUCACCUUGGUCACCGCUGCCCCGGCCAACGCACUCGCCUCUGAGAGCUCUGGCAGCCAUGUCAGGAGCAAAGAGAGCGAGGGGCGAAGCUUGCCCAAUUUCCAAUAGGAAGGGAGAGCUGGGGGCCCCAGAAGCGAAGAGGAGGAGGGGGGCCGCCUUGAAGAUCAAGCGGAGGAGGAAGGAAAAGAGAGUGCGUUUCCAUCGCGCCUGGACCAGCGCUGUGACCACCUCCGUGGAGCCCAUGGAGGUGGAUCCACCUCCGGAUGAGCCCAUGGAGGUGGAUCCACCUCCGGAUGAGCCCAUGGAGGUGGAUCCGCCUGCGGCACAGCUGGCCUGGCACCACACCACCGUGCCAGGCCCCGCAUCGGCGCCGUCCCACCGCCGCUGGUCCAGGCGCUCGGCUCCCUACCCGCUGCGCGGCCCCCGCCCCCAGCAUUAGCUGGGUGGCAUUAGUUUCCAUCAGCUCCUCCUCUGGAGCCAAUUCUGCGGGCCCCCAGCUCCAUCUUCACCCUGUUAUGUCCCCGUCCCUGUUUUUCUUGUUGAUUUUAGUGUUAAGUUUAGUGUUAGUGUUAGGAGUAGGUUAUUGUUCAUGUUUUAGAGUUAGGCAUAGGUUACUCGUAGUCUUUUAGUGUUAGGCAUAGGUUCCUGUUCUUCUGUUCGAGUUAGGCAUAGGUUACUCGUAGUCUUUUAGUGUUAGGCAUAGGUUAGUUGUAGUCUUUUAGUGUUAGGCAUAGGUUCCUGUUCAUACUUGACAGUUAGGGGUCGAUUGCUGGUGUCAGGUGGAAGUGAGCAGCGCUCACUCGGUAAGCACACGGCUGAUUGAUCGUGCGAAGACAUGAGUGCGAGUGCCGUGAGCACGGAGGCCCGAUGGCAUCUUGGAUGGAUUGAAUUUGCAGCUUGUGACUUUUGUG